rnacentral:rRNA from 1 species
ACGGGAGGCAGCAGUGAGGAAUAUUGGUCAAUGGGCGGAAGCCUGAACCAGCCAAGUCGCGUGAAGGAUGAAGGUAUUAUGUAUUGUAAACUUCUUUAGACGUAGAGAAAUAAGGAGGUCGUGACCUCUGAUGCUAGUAUACGUAGAAUAAGGAUCGGCUAACUCCGUGCCAGCAGCCGCGGUAAUACGGAGGAUCCGAGCGUUAUCCGGAUUUAUUGGGUUUAAAGGGUGCGCAGGCGGUCUCUUAAGUCAGUGGUCAAAUCGUGGUGCUCAACGCCAUCCCGCCAUUGAUACUGGGAGACUUGAUUUCGGUCGAGGUAGGCGGAAUUCGUCGUGUAGCGGUGAAAUGCAUAGAUAUGACGAAGAACCCCGAUUGCGUAGGCAGCUUACCAGCCCGACAAUGACGCUCAUGCACGAAAGUGCGGGGAUCGAACAGGAUUAGAUACCCUGGUA